ensembl:miRNA MIR517B microRNA 517b
GUGACCCUCUAGAUGGAAGCACUGUCUGUUGUCUAAGAAAAGAUCGUGCAUCCCUUUAGAGUGUUAC